AUUCUUAGCUGCGUGCCUCGGGUGACGUUGUGCUCAGUAGGGGCAGCGUUGAAAUUACGACUAGUGAUUUGAGAUUUUUUUCUGAAGAUGAUCUGGUUCUGUUGGCUUCAUCAAGGCUUGAUCACCAACGCCCACUGGACCGGUUCGCAGCUGAGUGUGAAGCAGUGAGUAAGAAUCAGCACCUCCAAAUCAGAUACCAUGGUCCUCAGUUAGAAAAGGGUGGCCUGCCCUCUCCGGAUUAACCAUUAUUGUCACCAUGAAAACAGACUCAACAGUGGUACUUGGAUGCGCUGAAAAAAAAACGAGUUUUCUGGGUACUCAAGUGGAAACUAUCACAACGGACAACGGGGAGGAAAGCUGAGUGCCUGGAGAAAACUCACGCAGGCAUGGGGACAACAUGUAAGCUCCACACAGGCGAGGCCGGGAUUUGAACCCCAGUCCUCAGAUCUAACCAAUGUGCUAACCAGUUGCCGCCUAGGAUGCAUUCAUUGGCGACCUUAAAUUGCCCCUAUGUGUAAUUGUGAGUGCGACUGUUGUCUGUCUUUAUGUGCUCUGCGAUUGGCUAGCAACCAGUUCAGGGUAUACAUGAUGAUAGCUGAGAUAGGAUCCAGAACUCCCACAAACCCUGUGAGGAUAAGCAGCGCAGAUGAUGGAUGGAUUAGUAGUA